rnacentral:rRNA from 1 species
UUAGCAUGGAAUAAUGAAAUAGGACGUGCGGUUCUAUUUUGUUGGUUUCUAGGAUCGCCGUAAUGAUUAAUAGGGACGGUCGGGGGCAUUAGUAUUCCGUUGCUAGAGGUGAAAUUCUUAGAUUUACGGAAGACUAACAACUGCGAAAGCAUUUGCCAAGGACGUUUUCAUUAAUCAAGAACGAAAGUUAGGGGAUCGAAGAUGAUCAGAUACCGUCGUAGUCUUAACCAUAAACUAUGCCGACUAGGGAUCGGGUGGCGCUAUUUUGCCCACUCGGCACCUUACGAGAAAUCAAAGUUUUUGGGUUCUGGGGGGAGUAUGGUCGCAAGGCUGAAACUUAAAGGAAUUGACGGAAGGGCACCACCAGGAGUGGAGCCUGCGGCUUAAUUUGACUCAACACGGGGAAACUCACCAGGUCCAGACGUAAUAAGGAUUGACAAGUUAGAGACUUCUCUUGAUCUUACGGGUGGUGGUGCAUGGCCGUUUUUAGUCCUUGGAGUGAUUUGUCUGCUUAAUUGCGAUAACGGACGAGACCUUAACCUGCUAAAUAGGGCUGCGAGCAUCUGCUCGUGGGCUCUUCUUAGAGGGACUAUGGGUAUCAAACCCAUGGAAGUUUGAGGCAACAACAGGUCUGUGAUGCCCUUAGACGUUCUGGGCCGCACGCGCGCUACACUGACGGAGCCAGCAAGUAUAUCCUUGGUCGAGAGGCCCGGGUAAUCUCGUGAAACUCCGUCGUGCUGGGGAUAGAGCAUUGCAAU